rnacentral:rRNA from 1 species
AGAGUUUGAUCAUGGCUCAGAACGAACGCUGGCGGCAUGCCUAACACAUGCAAGUCGAACGGGAUCCGGACUUCGGUUCGGUGAGAGUGGCGGACGGGUGAGUAACACGUGGGAACCUGCCUUUUGGUUCGGGAUAACCGCGGGAAACUGCGGCUAAUACCGAAUGCUCCCGAGAGGGAAAAGAUUUAUCGCCAGAAGAGGGGCCCGCGUCCGAUUAGGUAGUUGGUGGGGUAAUGGCCUACCAAGCCGACGAUCGGUAGCUGGUCUGAGAGGAUGAUCAGCCACACUGGGACUGAGAUACGGCCCAGACUCCUACGGGAGGCAGCAGUGGGGAAUAUUGGACAAUGGGGGCAACCCUGAUCCAGCAAUGCCGCGUGAGUGAUGAAGGCCUUAGGGUUGUAAAGCUCUUUUGCCAGGGAAGAUGAUGACUGUACCUGGAGAAUAAGCCCCGGCUAACUUCGUGCCAGCAGCCGCGGUAAUAC